rnacentral:ncRNA from 1 species
CUUCAGGGCAGGGUGAAAUUCCCGACCGGUGGUAUAGUCCACGAGCGCAAAUAUGAUUGUUUUGCAAGCACGAACUGGUGGGAUUCCAGUACCGAUAGUAGAGUCUAGAUGAAAGAAGUU